rnacentral:misc_RNA from 1 species
AGUGUUUAAUAAUUUGGCCAUAACCUGAGCUAAAAAACUUCAAAUUAAGUGAUUCAAAAAGAAAAAUAGAACUAAGACAUAGAGGAAAAACUUUCAUUAAGAUUACCUUCCCAAAUUAUGACUGAAACUAAGUUGAAAUUGGAUUCUAAAGUCAGGUUUUGAAUUUACCCUGAACGCAGAAAUCAUUAAAUUUUAUGGUAACUUAGGA